CACUGACACACACAACAAUCUUCAUCAACAUGACCUUCAUCAUCAUCUUCAUCUGGACUCUCACAGCGUUUGCUCAAGAGAGUAGAGGACAGAUCAGCGUCACUCAGAGUCCCUCAACGACAGCAGCUCAACCAGAAGAAACAGUCAAAAUCAACUGUAGAACCAGCACAGAUGUAGCUGAACAUAGUGCGCCACGUUACUAUUUAAGCUGGUAUUUACAAAAACUUGGAGAAGCUCCUAAACUCCUGAUUUAUUAUGCAAACACUCUCCAGUCAGGCACUCCAUCUAGAUUCAGUGGCAGUGCAUCAUCUGCGACUGAUUUCACUCUGACCAUCAGUGGAGUCCAGACUGAAGAUGCUGGACAUUAUUACUGUCAGAGUUACCACAGUGGUGAUGUGUUCACACAGGAUUGUGUGGGUGAUGAGGUGUUCACACAGUGA